UGGGUUUAUCCUAAGUCAAACUUCUUCAAGUUCGGCCAAGUUUAUAGAAAAAUUAGCAACAUUUCUAACCAAAAAAGUAUACUAUAAAAAUAUAUUCAAUGGUGGAUUUAGUGGAACUAAUUUGGUGCUGUAGAUUUUGCUACAUUUUUCUAUAAACUUGGUCAAACUUGAAGAAGUUUGACUUAGGACAAACUUAA
rnacentral:pre_miRNA from 1 species